AUCCUAACAUCUUCCACUCGUACACACUUGGUACUAUUCAUACUUUCUUAUCCCAAAUAUAUUCUCAUCUCAUUCUGCUCUUCAUACGGGAAAUGGUUCGUGCGAUCAAUAACGAGAAGAAUCAUAAGUGAGGAGUGUUAUAUUAAGCCACCAUCUGAACUAACAUAACACUACAACUCCAAAUCUCGUCUAUACCCCAAAUCACUGAACUACACCAGAUCAUAGCAUCUCUGGUCCCAUAGAGCAAACU
rnacentral:lncRNA from 1 species